rnacentral:misc_RNA from 1 species
AACCUAGCACACCUGCGGUGUGUACCUGCGGAGGGAUCAUUACCGAGUUAUACAACUCCCAAACCCACUGUGAACCUUACCUCAGUUGCCUCGGCGGGAACGCCCCGGCCGCCUGCCCCCGCGCCGGCGCCGGACCCAGGCGCCCGCCGCAGGGACCCCAAACUCUCUUGCAUUACGCCCAGCGGGCGGAAUUUCUUCUCUGAGUUGCACAAGCAAAAACAAAUGAAUCAAAACUUUUAA